CCUACGGGGGGCAGCAGUGGGGAAUAUUGGGCAAUGGGCGCAAGCCUGACCCAGCAACGCCGCGUGAAGGAAGAAGGCUUCCGGGUUGUAAACUUCUUUUCUCAGGGACGAAGCAAGUGACGGUACCUGAGGAAUAAGCCACGGCUAACUACGUGCCAGCAGCCGCGGUAAUACGUAGGUGGCAAGCGUUAUCCGGAUUUACUGGGUGUAAAGGGCGGGUAGGCGGGAAAGCAAGUCAGAUGUGAAAACCAUGGGCUCAACCUGUGGCCUGCAUUUGAAACUGUUUUUCUUGAGUACUGGAGAGGCAGACGGAAUUCCUAGUGUAGCGGUGAAAUGCGUAGAUAUUAGGAGGAACACCAGUGGCGAAGGCGGUCUGCUGGACAGCAACUGACGCUGAGGCGCGAAAGCGUGGGGAGCAAACAGGAUUAGAUACCCGUGUAGUC
rnacentral:rRNA from 1 species